rnacentral:rRNA from 1 species
CCUACGGGUGGCAGCAGUGAGGAAUAUUGGUCAAUGGCCGUAAGGCUGAACCAGCCAAGUAGCGUGAGGGAAGACGUCCCUCUGUGUUGUAAACCUCUUUUCUGCGGGGGUAAAGGUGUCCACGUGUGGAUGUUUGCAGGUACCGCAUGAAUACGGACCGGCUAAUUCCGUGCCAGCAGCCGCGGUAAUACGGAGGGUCCGGGCGUUAUCCGGAUUUAUUGGGUUUAAGGGGAGCGUAGGCCGAUCUUUAAGCGUGCCGUGAAAUUUUGUGGCUUAACCAUGAGAGUGCGGCGCGAACUGGGGACCUUGAGUGCACGGAAGGCAGGCGGAAUUCGUGGUGUAGCGGUGAAAUGCUUAGAUAUCACGAAGAACCCCGAUUGCGAAGGCAGCCUGCCGCAGCGUUACUGACGUUGAAGCUCGAAAGCGCGGGGAUCGAACAGGAUUAGAUACCCGAGUAGUC